rnacentral:rRNA from 1 species
GACGAACGCUGGCGGCGUGCUUAACACAUGCAAGUCGAACGGUGAAGCGCCUUCCUUUUUGGUGGGUGUGGAUGAGUGGCGAACGGGUGAGUAACACGUGAGUAACCUGCCCCCUUCUUCUGGAUAACCGCAUGAAAGUGUGGCUAAUACGGGAUAUUCUGGGUCUGUCGCAUGAUGGGUCUGGGAAAGAUAUUGUUUCGGUGGGGGAUGGGCUCGCGGCCUAUCAGCUUGUUGGUGGGGUGAUGGCCUACCAAGGCGGUGACGGGUAGCCGGCCUGAGAGGGUGGACGGUCACACUGGGACUGAGACACGGCCCAGACUCCUACGGGAGGCAGCAGUGGGGAAUAUUGCACAAUGGGCGCAAGCCUGAUGCAGCGACGCCGCGUGAGGGAUGGAGGCCGUCGGGUUGUGAACCUCUUUCGCCAGUGAAGCAGGCCUGCCUCGUUUGUGGGUGGGUUGACGGUAGCUGGAUAAGAAGCGCCGGCUAACUACAUG